rnacentral:rRNA from 1 species
UACGAGGGGGGCUAGCGUUGUUCGGAAUCACUGGGCGUAAAGCGCGCGUAGGCGGCCACGCAAGUCAGAGGUGAAAUCCCAGGGCUCAACCCUGGAAUUGCCUUUGAAACUGCAUGGCUAGAGUUCGGUAGAGGGUGGUGGAAUUCCUAGUGUAGAGGUGAAAUUCGUAGAUAUUAGGAGGAACACCAGUGGCGAAGGCGGCCACCUGGGCCGAUACUGACGCUGAAGUGCGAAAGCGUGGGGAGCAAACAGG